GCCCUCCCCAACGCUGCGUUUCCAUGCUACAAACAGAGAGACACGCCUCGCGCUGUCUCUCAAUUAAUCUUCGCAUGUGGGAAAUUCGGAGUAAGCCUCACCCAUCGCCGACAUCUAGCAUCCUGCUGGAACCGUUGGUCUGCCGGUAACGGCCUGGCGUCAAUGUCACGUCUGCAAAAGAUAUCAGAAAUACUCAGAGCGCGUGCUUUCGUCACGCUGUCUCUAUGGGAACGUCUUUGCGAGGCUCGUUUUGGGAAAAACUGAAGUGCGAUACGCGGCGUCCUGUCCCCUUUGGGGGCUGGAUGACUCAAUUCCGAUCACUCUGGGGAGGGC
rnacentral:RNase_P_RNA from 2 species